rnacentral:rRNA from 1 species
UGAGGAAUAUUGGGCAAUGCCCGCAAGGGUGACCCAGCAACGCCGCGUGGAGGAUGAAGGUCGUAAGAUUGUAAACUCCUUUGGAGGGGGACGAAAAACUGAGUCUAAAGGGCUCAGGUUGACGGUACCCCUAGAACAAGCCCCGGCUAACUACGUGCCAGCAGCCGCGGUAAUACGUAGGGGGCAAGCGUUGUCCGGAUUUACUGGGUGUAAAGGGCGCGCAGGUGGGUUUGUAAGUCAGAGGUGAAAGCCUGGAGCUCAACUCCAGAACUGCCUUUGAAACUACAAAUCUUGAGUGCAGAAGAGAGAAGCGGAAUUCCAGGUGUAGUAGUGAAAUACGUAGAUAUCUGGAAGAACACCAGUUGCGAAGGCGGCUUCUUGGUCUGUCACUGACACUGAGGCGCGAAAGCGUGGGGAGCAAACAGG